GAGUGAGUGCAUCUUUCCUUCACACAAUGAGAAACCGCCGGCCCUGAGGAAGCUGUGAAGAUCACACCGGAGAUCCUGAAGAAGAUGAACUGGGAUGAUCUGUCAGAGAAGAAAAAGAGAGAGUGGUUUCCAGAGAACUAUGAUCAGGAGGACAAUGGAACAUACCGUGGUUUCCAGAGAACUAUGAUCAGGAGGACAAUGGAACAUACCGG